GGGGAUUUAGCUCAGUGGUAGAGCACUUGCCUAGUAAGCGCAAGGCCCUGGGUUCGGUCCCCAGCUCCG
rfam:Rattus norvegicus chromosome 5, whole genome shotgun sequence.